AAAGUCGUAACAAGGUAACCGUAGGUGAACCUGCGGUUGGAUCAUUAUAAAGAUGAUUGCGUUCUCCAUACUCACGUGUCGGAGCAUACACGCAGACUUCACUGUUCAUUCAGUGGGUUAAACAUUAUGUGAACUGUACUUGUCUCUGGCAGGGGGUGGGCCUUAAAGGUCUGCCUGUCAACAUGGAAGAAUCCGUUCUCCUAUGGUGUGGACAACCUGUCGGCCACUUGUUUUACACUUUUAAUUGUCUAAACAUACUGUAUUUAUAAUACAUUAAAACAACUUUUGGCAACGGAUCUCUUGGCUCUC
rnacentral:misc_RNA from 1 species